GCGCAAGACUGUGUUUGGCCUGCUGAACCAAGCGCAAAUAAUUGCCUGAGGCUUUUGGUCCGGGACUUAGCGUGCUUGUCUGACAGCUUUCAGAUGAAUCAUGAGACUGUCUCAAAGCUUCGGUGACAGUGCUGACCUGUACUACAGACAAGGAAUUUGUCCUGUUCAGCCUCACGGGGUGACAACGGCUGCUUCUGUGUUAAAUUCAUACUUUGAGCUGAAUUCACGUGGGCAAUCAGUACAAAUGACUUUUGAUUUGAGAUUCUUACACGGGAAAACACCAGCACCAAACAGGUAUUCAGAAUCUGGAAUUUCCAAUAUUGCAGAUUCUAUGCACAGAAUUAGAGAUUUUGAAAUCAUCUCAUCCUAUUCAGAAGUAAAUGAUCAUUUCAAAUACUGCAUCUAG
rnacentral:lncRNA from 1 species